UACGAAGGGUGCAAGCGUUACUCGGAAUUACUGGGCGUAAAGCGUGCGUAGGUGGUGAGUUAAGUCUGUCGUGAAAGCCCCGGGCUCAACCUGGGAAUGGCAUUGGAAACUGGCUAGCUGGAGUGUGGCAGAGGGGGGUGGAAUUCCGCGUGUAGCAGUGAAAUGCGUAGAUAUUCGCAAGAACACCAGUGGCGAAGGCGGCUCACUGGCCCGAUACUGACGCUGAGGCACGAAAGCGUGGGGAGCAAACAGG
rnacentral:rRNA from 1 species